rnacentral:rRNA from 1 species
CGGCGAGCGAAAGGGGAGGAGCCCAGCGCCGAAUCCCCGGCCUCUGGUCGCGGGAAAUGUGGCGUUUAGGAGUGAGCGUGCCGGGUCCGGACGAGGAGGCAAGUCCCCCUGACCGGGGCCUGUCCGUAGCGGGUGCGAGGCCCAUAGCCGCCUCGGCCGGUCCGGAAUGCGAUCUCCUGGGAGUCGGGUUGCUUGGGAGUGCAGCCCUAAUCGGGUGGUAAACUCCACCUAAGGCUAAAUACCGCCGUGAGACCGAUAGCAAACAAGUACCGUGAGGGAAAGUUGCAAAGAACUUUGAAGAGAGAGUUCAAGAGUACGUGAAACUGCUCAGAGGUAAACGGGUGGGCCCUCGAAAUCCUGUGGCGAGAGGAUUCAGUCUGGAUUUGCGGACCCUGCGGCGGAUCACACUGCCCCGAGCGGGCUCCGUCUGCCGCGGGUGUCUUCUGACGUUCCAGACGCAUUUGACUCUCGUCCGAAGGACGCUGCAGCCGGUUCGGCAGCGCAAGCGUGACGGCCUGAAGGGCGGGAGAUGGCAGGUGGCCGGUGGCCCUCCUCGUUGGGGGCCGUCGGUUGUUAGCCGUCCCGUCAGUGGCUCGUCGCCGGACCGUGGUGUCGCGAGUCCCUCCUCGGAGGGAUUCCUCGUCUCCCACCUCGCAGUGGCGGGACAGAAGGCGGCUGGGAUCGCCCGCGGACGCCGUCGCACUCCUCAGGUGUGGGCGUCGACGCAGGAGCGGCCCCGCAGGUCGCCGCGGACCCGUCGGGGACCGGAGGCUGGCAGCGAGUAGGUCGGUCACCCACCCGACCCGUCUUGAAACACGGACCAAGGAGUCUAACAUGUGCGCGAGUCAAUGGGUCUUGAACAGGCCCAGAGGCGCAAUGAAAGCGAAGGUCGGCCCCAGCGCCGACCGAGUCGGGAUCCCUCCCCUCCGGGGGGGGCGCACCGACGACCCGUCCUAUCCGGCACGUCCGGUUGGGCGGAGUAUGAGCGUACACGUUGGGACCCGAAAGAUGGUGAACUAUGCCCGGACAGGACGAGGCCAGAGGAAACUCUGGUGGAGGUCC